GUGCUCGCUUUCACAGAACAUAUACUAAAACUGGAAGGACACAGAGAAGAUCAGCAUACAAAGGGUGAUGUGCAAAUUCAUGCAGCAUUACAUCCACAU
rnacentral:snRNA from 1 species